rnacentral:rRNA from 1 species
GCACGGUGAGUAACGCGUAUGCAACCUACCUAUCAGAGGGGAAUAACCCGGCGAAAGUCGGACUAAUACCGCAUAAAACAGGGGCACCGCAUGGUGAUAUUUGUUAAAGAGAUUCGCUGAUAGAUGGGCAUGCGUUCCAUUAGGUAGUUGGUGAGGUAACGGCUCACCAAGCCGACGAUGGAUAGGGAACUGAGAGGUUGGUCCCCCACACUGGUACUGAGACACGGACCAGACUCCUACGGGAGGCAGCAGUGAGGAAUAUUGGUCAAUGGGCGGGAGCCUGAACCAGCCAAGUCGCGUGAAGGAAGAAGGAUCUAUGGUUCGUAAACUUCUUUUGCAGGGGAAUAAAGUGCAGGACGUGUCCUGUUUUGUAUGUACCCUGAGAAUAAGGAUCGGCUAACUCCGUGCCAGCCGCCGC